rnacentral:pre_miRNA from 2 species
ACAUACUUCCUUAUAUCCCCAUAUUCAGAAUUAAUCUAUGGAAUGUAAGGAAGUGUGUGG